rnacentral:rRNA from 1 species
ACGGAAGGCAGCAGUGGGGAAUAUUGCACAAUGGAGGAAACUCUGAUGCAGCAACGCCGCGUGAAGGAUGAAGGUCUUCGGAUCGUAAACUUCUGUCCUUAGGGAAGAUAAUGACGGUACCUGUGAAGGAAGCUCCGGCUAACUACGUGCCAGCAGCCGCGGUAAUACGUAGGGAGCAAGCGUUAUCCGGAAUUACUGGGUGUAAAGGGAGUGUAGGCGGGACUGUAAGUCAGAUGUGAAAUAUGCCGGCUCAACUGGCAGACUGCAUUUGAAACUGCGGUUCUUGAGUGAAGUAGAGGUAAGCGGAAUUCCUAGUGUAGCGGUGAAAUGCGUAGAUAUUAGGAGGAACAUCAGUGGCGAAGGCGGCUUACUGGGCUUUAACUGACGCUGAGGCUCGAAAGCGUGGGGAGCAAACAGGAUUAGAUACCCUGGUA